rnacentral:rRNA from 1 species
AUGAUGGUGGAUGAGAAGGGAAGGUGUGGGAGGUGCAGGGAGUGGCAGGAGCACUACUACUGGGAGCACAUGGAGGAUGUGAGCAAGAUCAGCUUCUCCAAGCUCAUGACAGGAGAUUUUCAGCAGCGCAUUAGCAUACCGGAGAAGAUUGCCAACAAUUUCAUCGGGAAGAUCGCCAAUGGAGGAUUCACCCUCAAAGCACCAAGCGGUGAGGAAUGGCGCGUUGGUGUCGAAAAGAUUGCCGAUAAGCGGUUCUUCAUGCCAGGAUGGGAGGAAUUUGCCAUGGCUCACGAACUGCAGGAGAACGAGCUCCUGCUCUUCAAAUGCAGUGGCAAUUGUUCCUUUGAUGUACUCAUCUUUGACGCGAGCGGCUGCGAGAAGGUUUCAUGUUUCUUUGCCAAUAAAAAGGGUAUCAAUAUGCGCAAACAGUUUGAUAACAUUGUGAGUCAACACGGACAAGAGCACUGCAUUUUGAGUGAUUCUGACGAUACUAGCAUGCCACUAUCGCAGCUGGUUCGGUCUACUCACAAGGCCUCCACUUCAAAGAAACCAAGGAAAGAGAAUGGAUCUCCAAACAGCAGCAACUAUUAUCUUAAGAACGAGGUGGAGCAAGAAGAGGAAAGUGAUGACGACCACACUGAAUCCAACAACUACUACUACUCAAGGAUUGCCAAUUGCCUGAGCGAAGAUGAACGAGAGGAAAUAUUCAGGCAGAUAUCAAUUCAGUCAGGCAACCCUGUAUAUGUGGUUGUCCUGCAGAAGGCUCACGUUCGCCCUGCAAACAACUUACUGAUCAUCUCCAGCAAAUUUGCAGCUGAUCAUCUUCAGGGGAGAUCAUAUGAGAUGCUGCUUCUCAGGCCAAACAGGAAAGAGAAAUGGUGUCUGAAGUACUACCACAGCAGGGUCACCCGAGGCUUCAACAGCCGGCGCUGGAACAAGUUUGUUCGUGAUAAUAUGCUGCGCGAGGGCUACGUCUGCAUCUUCGAGCUGAUGAAAGGCGCGAGGAAGGCGACGAUGACGGUCCACGUCCUUCGGAAGGUGGACGACAAGUUUGUUCUACUGGGCUAA